rnacentral:rRNA from 1 species
UGAGGAAUAUUGGUCAAUGGGCGAGAGCCUGAACCAGCCAAGUCGCGUGAAGGAAGAAGGAUCUAUGGUUCGUAAACUUCUUUUGCAGGGGAAUAAAGUGCGGGACGUGUCCUGUUUGGUAGUGUACCC